UUCAAUAAAAGUCGGGGAGAUCUCAGAUACUAAUUGCCAUUCUCCACUCUUUAGCCUCCAUACACAUAACUUAGCAUCUAAACCUUCAUCAGAGACUAUGUUCAUAUACAUGAGAAAUCCUUGACUAGUUGUGCAUGUUCUUAUGAAUUCGCGAUGCUUUUCUAAAUCAGGGAAAUGAGUAACCCGACACUUAUCAGAAUUUGUUUCAAAAGCGUAAAAGUCGAUGGAUAUAACAACUUCUGUAUCCUCACUAUUGCGAACGAGCCAAUGAAGAUUUUCGUUUAAGCUAAUGGGAUGGUAAAAAUCACGA